AUCCCUUUUAAAGAAGACGAAGAGUCGCCAUGUUUGAAAGUGCAAGGGAGUGGGUCAGCUUAAAGGUCUACCAGUACAACCUGACGACUGGAAUAUAUAUGUUGGAGCCAUGGGAAAGGACAAUAUUUAACGCAACAUUGGUUUCAUUACUUGGGAUGUCUAUCUACUCCACAUAUGCAUUUCUUCCAGCAUACACAACCAAUCUGAUGAAAUAUUUUGGUUUUAUGUAAUUAGCAGAAAGAAACGCUCCUCAGUUUACGACUAUAACAUGCAGCAAGUAAAGAUGAGAAGUCUAAAUAUUAACUGUCAAGAAACAUAUCAGUGAAGAGAUUGAAAUCUUACAACUCAAUCAGUGCUGGAAAAAUAACAAUCCUAUGAAUUGCUUGUAAAUAUACUGAGAAAAAGUUGUAAAAAUAGUGUAAAAAUAAAAUGUAAAAAAAGUAAAUAAAUA